UUUAAAACUUGGGGUUGACUUUGAUGGUGAUUGUGUACAUAUAUAAGGUUCUUACAACUUAGAGCUUCACAAGGAGGGUGGGGGUUGCUUUUAGGAUUGUUUGGGGUUCAUUUGGAAAGUCAUUUAUUUCUGAAUGUUUUUAUGUACCUUUUCCAAAAAUUACCAAUUAAGCUUACUAGGACUUAACGUUUUCUUUAUUCAUUUAAACCGUUUCAUUUUCCAAAAUUUGUUUCCAUAUUCAAACAGUAACAUAAGAUACUGAGAAAAUAGCAGUAUCUCACUCAGGUUAUCAAUGAGUUACUAUAAAAAUUUGGGAUCCAUUAGAUUAGUACAAAA
rnacentral:lncRNA from 1 species